rnacentral:rRNA from 1 species
UUAAGCUAAUAAGAGCGCAGGGUGGAUGCCUUGGCACUAAGAGCCGAUGAAAGACGUGAUAAGCUGCGAAAAGCUUCGGGGAGGAGCAAAUAUCCGAUGAUCCGGAGAUAUCUGAAUGGGGAAACCCGGCUGGACAGACUCCAGUCAUCCAUACGCCAAUCCAUAACGUAUGGAAGGGAACCCGGUGAACUGAAACAUCUAAGUAGCCGGAGGAAGAGAAAACAACAAGUGAUUCUGUGAGUAGCGGCGAGCGAAAACGGAAGAGCCCAAACCGGAAUGCGUGCAUUCCGGGGUUCGGACCGCGUAAUUGAUCUGAUAAGUUUAGCAGAAUGGUUUUGGGAAAGCCAGCCAGAGAGGGUGAAAGCCCCGUAAGCGAAAGACGAGUCAGCAAGGCGGGAUCCAGAGUACCACGAGACACGAGAAACCUUGUGGGAAUGAGCGGGGACCACCCCGUAAGGCUAAAUACUCCUUAGUGACCGAUAGCGCAUAGUACUGUGAAGGAAAGGUGAAAAGGACCCCGGGAGGGGAGUGAAAGAGAACCUGAAACCCUGUGUUUACAAGCUGUGGAACAUCUUUAAAUGAUGAACCGCGUACUUUUUGUAGAACGGUCCGGCGAGUUACGCCAUCUGGCGAGGUUAAGUUCUUAAGGAAUGGAGCCGAAGUGAAAACAAGUCUUAAUAGGGCGUGAAGUCAGAUGGAGUAGACCCGAAACCGGGUGAUCUAUCCAUGUCCAGGAUGAAGUUGCCGUAAAAGGCAAUGGAGGUCCGAACCCACAUCCGUUGAAAAGGGUGGGGAUGAGGUGUGGAUAGGGGAGAAAUUCCAAUCGAACCCGGAGAUAGCUGGUUCUCCUCGAAAUAGCUUUAGGGCUAGCCUCGAUUUAGUCUUAUGGAGGUAGAGCACUGAAUUUCCGCGGGGGCGUCAAAGCUUACCAAAGAAUAUCAAACUCCGAAUGCCAUGUAGAUGAUGAACGGGAGUCAGACUGCACGAGAUAAGUUGGGCAGUCAAAAGGGAAAGAGCCCAGACCACCGGCUAAGGUCCCAAAGUGCGUGUUAAGUGGAAAAGGAUGUGGGAAUUCGAAGACAACUAGGAUGUUGGCUCAGAAGCAGCCAUACAUUCAAAGAGUGCGUAACAGCUCACUAGUCGAGAGUUCCUGCGCCGAAAAUGUCCGGGGCUGAAACACGACACCGAAGCCGUGGACUCGCAAUGCGAGUGGUAGAGGAGCAUUCUUAAAACCGACGAAGCUGUACCGGAAGGAGCAGUGGAGGGAUAAGAAGAGAGAAUGCCGGAAUGAGUAGCGAGAGAAAGGUGGGAAUCCUUUCGGCCGAAUAUCUAAGGUUUCCAGAGUAAAGCUGAUCUGCUCUGGGUAAGUCGGGGCCUAAGCACAGGUCGCAAGACGUAAGCGAUGGAUAACAGGUUUAGAUUCCUGUACCACGCAUUAUCAGAACUGUAGGGACGCAUGUGGAAAGCACGAGCCGGGAAUGGAAAGACCGGUACAAGCGAGGUAGGUGUACAAUAGGCAAAUCCGUUGUAUAAUCCGAAGACGUGAUGUGGAGCGAAAUAAAGUAGCAAAGCGUGUGAGCCAUGUGCCGAGAAAAGCUGCUAUUGUGUAAUGCGUGCCCGUACCGUAAACCGACACAGGUGGAUGAGGAGAGAAUCCUAAGGCCGACGGAAGAAGCAUUGUUAAGGAAUUCGGCAAAAUGACCCCGUAACUUCGGGAGAAGGGGUGCCUGCGAGAGCAGGCCGCAGAGAAUAGGCUCAAGCAACUGUUUAGCAAAAACACAGGUCUAUGCGAAACCGAAAGGUGAAGUAUAUGGGCUGACGCCUGCCCGGUGCUGGAAGGUUAAGAGGAGAGGUUAGCGCAAGCGAAGCUUUGAAUUUAAGCCCCAGUAAACGGCGGCCGUAACUAUAACGGUCCUAAGGUAGCGAAAUUCCUUGUCGGGUAAGUUCCGACCCGCACGAAAGGUGU